rnacentral:rRNA from 1 species
GACGAACGCUGACGGCGUGCUUAACACAUGCAAGUCGAACGGAAAGGCCCUGCUUUUGUGGGGUGCUCGAGUGGCGAACGGGUGAGUAACACGUGAGUAACCUGCCCUUGACUUUGGGAUAACUUCAGGAAACUGGGGCUAAUACCGGAUAGGAGCUCCUGCUGCAUGGUGGGGGUUGGAAAGUUUCGGCGGUUGGGGAUGGACUCGCGGCUUAUCAGCUUGUUGGUGGGGUAGUGGCUUACCAAGGCUUUGACGGGUAGCCGGCCUGAGAGGGUGACCGGCCACAUUGGGACUGAGAUACGGCCCAGACUCAUACGGGAGGCAGCAGUGGGGAAUAUUGCACAAUGGGCGGAAGCCUGAUGCAGCAACGCCGCGUGCGGGAUGACGGCCUUCGGGUUGUAAACCGCUUUCGCCUGUGACGAAGCGUGAGUGACGGUAAUGGGUAAAGAAGCACCGGCUAACUACGUG